rnacentral:lncRNA from 1 species
UUAAAUGAAUUUAUAUAUAUCUACUAGAUAUAAUUAAAUAUUGAAAUGCAUGUAUCUCGAAAAUUGUAAGUAAUUAUUUAAAGAUUUAGCAAAAUGUCAAGGAAAUAUAAAAAUAAAUCAAAUGUUUUUAUUUUGUAAGCUUAAACCUUUAGAUACGUCAUAUUGGUUUUCAAUUUUAUUAAAUCUGUCUAAAUAUUAUAAAAAAUGGCACAUGACCCUGUUUUGACUUGAUAAUACCGUGUUUAAAUAGUUGGAGGAUUACACAAAACCUGAAUUAUACGUUGUGUUGUAAUUGGCGCAUCUCUCGGGAAGCAUAUAGUAUUCAAGGCAAACUAUAUGUGGCAUAAGAAAGCAACUUCUACUCGUAAUUUAAUAAAAAUUAUGAAACAAUUAUGACAUGCUUAGUAGAGUUCUACUUAGAGUUUUAAAUUAUACUUUUUUGUUAACAAAAAAAUGAAUCUCAUUAUGAAUAUGCAUUUAAGACAUAAAUCUAAAGAAGGAACUACUAUGAAGAUGUCCACAUAUUAUUCAUAAUUUUGUGGGUUCACAUGAAGUAGUUAUGUUUAUUAUAGUUAGGUUAGGUUAUGCCAUAUGUUAUUUAUAUCUAAAAUGGAGAAAGAGAAUAAAGUGGAAAAACAAGGAGAGAUGGGCAGUUCUGGCUGUCCUUGAUUAGGUUCUGUUUUUUCUGCCCCUGUAGGGUUUCUUUAGCAAUAUGCCCCAGUGGGUAAAAAUAAAAGAAAAAAAGGAAAGUAAAAGGGCAGUAAAGAUGGGCGUUGGCCCAUUGGUUGGUGGAAGAAAAAUGAAUGUUAAAAGGAGAGGAAACGAGAUUCGGCCUAUUUGAUUUCCCUUUUUUUCUCAUUUGAACUAAGAUAUAAAAAAUUGUCAGUGGCAUAAACAUAGAAAUGGAAAUAUUAUGAAGAUAUCAACAUAAUAUUCAUAUUUUUGUAUGUUCAUAUGAAAUUUUACAAGAAUAAUUUG